GAUCAUUUAGCCAGCUUUCAAACUCCCCGGCGUCUGCCACGGGCGCAGCCAUCUUGGCCCUUUGGGGUCUUUUCGGCGGCGCACGGCUGUCUUUUCUCAUUGCCUGUUCGAAAAGUGUUGUACAGAAGAUGACGUCAGUGAUCCAACCUGUGCAACAUGACGGGUGGGUGGACACCAGGUGAGGGACAAGUCACUAACCGGCCCACUGUUAUGUGGACCAGUAUCGACGACCAGGCAGUCAUUAGGACAUCACACUUGAGCUGACGAGCAGAGAAUUCAGGGGACAUGUCCACGCCGAUUGUUUAAUUUGAUGGCUGUGAUUCUGCGCUGAACUGGUCACACCACCGGCCCAGCUGUUUCUCCUGCCUCAAGCAGCAGACGCACAUUCUCCCAGAGGUCCGAGCAGCCCAGCGGUGUCCUGAAGUUACCAGGACUGCAGGAUGUAUUGUGACAGACUUUAAAUGUGAGGAAGAGGAGCCCUUGUCACCCAUCACCUCUGUGAGAUGAAAGGCCCCGAAAGCAGCCAGCCACCCUGCUGGACACAGCUCAGCUGUUAUAAGAAGUGUUUGACAGGAGUGGCAGGUACUUGACCUUCUCUCUGGCUUUCUCUCUCUCACACUUCCACUCUUCUUUGCUCUCUCUUUUCUCUCACUCUUACUCUGUGUCGCUGCCUCGCCACAGGCUGACCACUCUUUGCGCCACAGCCUCUUGGGUGUUGUCAGGGAGCUAACAGUCCCAGUGCUCUGUAGUACGCCUGCGUUUGUUGUUUGUUUAUUCCAUCUAUUUUCAAUGAAUACAACAGUGGAAGCCUUGUGGUGGUGUUGA